rnacentral:rRNA from 1 species
CAGCACCGCGGUAAUACAGAGGAUGCAAGCGUUAUCCGGAAUGAUUGGGCGUAAAGCGUCUGUAGGUGGCUUUUCAAGUCCGCCGUCAAAUCCCAAGGCUCAACCCUGGACAGGCGGCGGAAACUACCAAGAUGGAGUACGGUAGGGGCAGAGGGAAUUUCCGGUGGAGCGGUGAAAUGCGUUGAGAUCGGAAAGAACACCAACGGUGAAAGCACUCUGCUGGGCCGACACUGACACUGAGAGACGAAAGUUAGGGGAGAAAAUGGGAUUAGAUACCCCAGUAGUCCCUGUCUCUUAUACA